UGUAGUUUACACGCUGGGGUACGUGGACGUGUCGUUGUGGUGGAUUAUUAUUACCGAUAUUCUUUUAUUUCGGUCUGUUUCAUCAUUAAACGUGUUUCUCUCCCAUCCUGUCAAUCUCGUAUCCCUUUUUGAGGAUGUUGCGGCGGCGGUCCGGUUAUAUAACUGCAGGCGUGAUGACACUAAACACAAACACACGCACACACACGCACACACACGCCGUUUCAUUCACUGUAUCGAUCGCUCUUAUGUUUAUUCUCUCUAAUGUAAUGUGUUGUUUUAGAUGGAAAUGUUGAACAAUGGCACAGGAAGACUUUAGCACUGGAGCGGCCGCAGCCAAGGACAGUGGAUUUGUUGACAUUAAACCUGUCACAGUGGCUACAAUUAUACACUUAUUUAUCUUGUCCUGACACACACACACGAAGGUGAACUGGGUUUAUAAAGUGGUACAAAAGAGCGUUAGAUCUAGAUAUAUAAGUAAGAGUGUGUGUGUGUGUGUGUGUGUCCAACACGGUGGCUGUGUUUUAGUUUCAUUAUGCCACACAAUAGAGCAGGCGAUACUUCCACAUGGACGGUAUUACGAUACACCGGAUAUAUCGCAAUAUACGAUAUUUCACUCGAUCGACAUUUACGUGUCGGUAGCGGAUCGUAAUGCGAAUUCCGUUCACAAGAAAUCGAUCGACAAUUCGGUAAACAAAACGAUUCAUUGCUAAGGGAAUGAACAACAAAGGAGCUUGUGCGUGUGUGAUAAGGCUGAACAACAUGAUGACGAGGUCACGAUAAGACGAUAUCGUCGUACGUCGUGUUCUCUUUUUUUUUCAUCAUUCCAGACCGACCAGAAGAAGUCGAAUUGCCGUCAAAAUUCCGAAUCGAAUUUUAGUCUCGGCCUUGUUUUUGUUGCCGAAACGUUUUUUUUGUUUUCCUUCUUUCGAACUUCUGAUUUGGGUCGUGUUUUUGCAGAUCGUCCCGGACGAGGAAUCGAGCUUUGUGCGUUCUUGUCUUGUGCAUAAACACACCGUAUUUUAAUGUAUUUGUACGUUUAUUUUGGAAUAAUACGAAUAUUUUUAUUUGUUGUCUAAUCUGGCUCCUCCCACCCAGCUAGUUCUGUGUCUUUUGUUGUCUCUUUUAUAUAUAAACACACUUAAAAUAUAUCUGUAUUUUUUAUAGUCUUGUGUAUUAGGUAUUUAUUAGGAACCCAGACACGGCACAUUAUAUAGAGACUGACUGAUGAUCUCUUGUUUUGACGGGCUUUUUUCUUCCUAUCCAUAUGCAUGACGAAACAUUAGCAUUGUAUUGCUGUGUGCUGCCCCGCUGUUAUGGGGUGGGGGGGGGGUGUUUGGUCGACCGGGGUAGUUGCCCCAUUCCUCGGCUGGGUGGCAGUCCGGGAGGUCCAUUGACAUGUAGAACAGCCCUUUUUAAUCAGAAAACCGGCAGGUCUUGCCUUUCUAUACAGUGGGUACGAAUUAUGUGGGCGCGAAGGCGAAGUGUACGGCAAAAACUUUUUAAAUCGUAUGCUAAAUUUACUAUUAUUAGUCAUGCCAUUUUUCUUUGUAUGGAUCUUCAUCAAAAGUGGGCGUGGCCUAAAUAUGAAACACAGGCCCUGUGUGUGUGUGUGUGGGGGGGGGGGGCUGGGAGAUUGUGGCAACGCAUGUGUAAAUUUGUUCUGUAAAAGUUCCUCAGCUUCAAACACAACACCUCAGUUGUACAUCAUUUGCUAAUGAAUUUAUUCAGAUCUUUUUUGCCAAAAUGUAAAUAAACUUGUGGCCUAUUUUAAGCUGCCUCAGCCCUGACCAGGCAGGGGCUAAGCUUCAUAUCUAACCUCUGCAGUUUGGUCUGUAGUUCUCCAGCAUGGCGAAGUGAAAGAGAACAGCUUUACCCAGUGGUAAUGGUAGUCGAUUCCUGAUGGCCGGAGCGAAAGCUUUAACAUACUUCACACUCCAAUAUCCUCUUUUCACUCUGACACACUGGAUACAUACAAUACACCAACGCAGGGGGCAAAAAGAGCCGCUGGGAUCGAGGCUGUACACAGGAAGUGUUGAUCUGCGAGGACCUGAAGCCUGAUUCAGUAGCUGAUCCAGAGCCUGUCUUUGUUGACCGUGUUUGACCCCCAGGCUGAGAGGAGGAGAGAGCGCCACUGCGCUGAGGUCAGCCGUUUAGUUCACACCAUAAAGAGAGCGAGAGAGAGGAAGAGCGGGCCGCGAAGAGAGCGCCGGGGCCGGGGAGGGGCGGGAAACCCGAGUCGGCUCUUAACAAUGACUUAAUUUCGCAUGCAAACGCCUGUGUGUGUGUGUGUGUAUGUGUGUGAGAGAGAGAGAGAGAGAGAGAGAGAGAGAGAGAGAGAGAGAGAGAGAGAGAGAGAGAGAAUGAAGAAUGAAUGAAUGAAUGAAUGAAUGAAUGAAUGAAUGAAUAGGCUCCUUCCACCCGGACCGUAUAGAUUUGUUUUGGAGAUGCAAGAACAAUAUAUGAAAUUAUUAAUUUAUUUAAUCAUUUUAAAUCAUGGGUGCCAAUAAUUCUGGAGGUCACCGAUGGAUGACAUAAGGACUAUGUGGCUAACCGAAACCCAGACCACAUCUCGUUUCCCCAAAAUCACUUUAAAGCGCAAUAUUCAAUACGAAUGGUUCCUAGAUCCAAAAGUAAUGGCACUCCCGCAUAUGAGUGUAGCGUUGCACUGUACAAGUCAGUCAGUAUUGAACAAAUUCACAAAGCUCCCCACGGUGAUACUUGAUCUGCGAUACACAUUCAGAAUCUGUGGUCUUUAAGCCCCGCCUCUUUUUUUUUUUUUUUUAAAUCUGCACCAAUGAGAUGAAGGUGAAAGUUAAAAUUGAAACGUUUUCUCUUCGUAUUGCAGGUUUCGCUAACGACGAAGCUACGUAAAGGUUUUUUAAAUAUCGGUAUCAUGAGAUUUUCGUCUUUUCUCCCUUUCAGUGUAUUUUUGUACCACAGUUAUACUUUUCACUCAUGCCGCCGUUACGCUCCGUCUCUCCUUCAGGUGUGAGAAAGGUGCGUCAUUUUAAAACGAAAGAAACGAAGGACGCGUCACGGUUUUUUUUCCCGGUUCUUCGACGCCACUUGUUAAAUUGUUCUGUGGGAUUUGUUUUGUUUGUUUUUAAUACCAAAGCGAUGCGGCAGGUUCACAGUAAAGUCUCCUGCUUUGUUGCUCUUUGGUCAUAUUUAUUUUAAGUUAUAAUAAAAUGACGGAAAAAACGAA